UGUGUCAGCCCUACCAAAAGUAAGUAGAGAUGCUAUAGAGAAAGAGGUCUAAUGCAUGAGUGUUGGAUAAUAACUAUCAAAAGAGACUCUGCUAAAAUCAUGUUUUACCUGAAUUAAUUUAAGUUUGAUCAUGAUUUAAACACACACACACUCACACACACACACACACUUUAAUAAAAACAUUAAAGUUUACUUGCUAAGCUUUUGGUUAUGGCCACUAUUGGGAGCUCUGAUAAGUAUGUCUGCUCCUAUUGCUCAACCCUCGCCCUCUGAAUCUUCUAAUAAUGUCUGCAUCUUCCAGAUUGGAACAAUUACAUGUUAAGAAGAUGGUAACACAAAAAUUCCAGCCCAUCCCCACAAAUGAGGCCAGUUUUUUUCUGUCAGUUCACGGAGAGGCCACAAAGGAGGAACUGAAUACCACCAAGAACAAGGUGAGAAGCUCACAGUGGGUCCUCGCUCAUAGCUGAGCUUGAGAUGACGGCACACCAACCAGCCCCUUGACUGUACCUACUGAGAAACCUGACCUAGACACACCAUAUAAAAAAGGACUGGAGAGUACAGAGGGCCAUUCUAGAAACAUGUAUAAACACAGAUUUGCAGAUAUGUGGCCUACAGAGGAGUAUGUUGCCUAUGUACUGGGCUGAACUUCACUGUCCACCCAGGGUAGUGAGGAGUGGCCUGGGAGGUCUGCUUCUGCAGACCCUCAGAGGUAGCACCUCUGUGGUAGCCAGCUCUGCCUGUCCACCUGCACCACUGGGCUCUGGAUGAUGAGCGAGCUACUGGCUCAAAGGGCUCUGGAUUCUGACAGUGACAGCAAAGCUCCAAAAGAAACUACCAUGGCUGCAGGAGUCUUGCCUCCAAAUGAAGAUCAAUAUUCCAUGUUGGUAAAUAAUAAUGGGCAUGCUUCAAACAUGAAAGGAAGUUCAGAACAUCCAACACUGAAGUACACAAAAGUGGAGAGCGUGUAUGGGCAUGACAUCCCUUGACACUGAUGUGUUCCAUGGAGUGUGGUGGCAGAGCAUGCAAAUAUGAGAAUGCAGCCUGCUGGAGUGAGCAGGAGCAAGACAUUAAGGGUUUUUAUUCAUCUUGGAUAACUGACAAUAUCCAGGUCAUGUCUCUCCUGUUAUCUGAGCUCCUGGAGAAGUAGCACAUCAUGGAGCAGGUCCUCAGUCAUGGUCUAAAAUAAAUAAUCAACCUACAGCACCCUGGUAAGGAUGCUAGCAGCUGUGGAAGGAAAAAGGUUACACAUACCUUUCUGAAGCAUUCAUGGAGGGUGGCCCUUAUUUCUACAAUUUUGGAUGGAAGGAUUAUGGAGUAGCAUCUCCUACCACCAUCUUAGAUAUGGUGAAGAUGAUGACAUUUGCCUUACAGGAAGGAAAAGUUUUCAUCUAUCAUCACACAGGGCUUAGCCAGACAGAUUUUUAAUAGUAUGUUAUUUAGUUUUUGCAACAAGAAUGACUGCUGACCAAGCAAUUAUAUUUCUGCAGACUAAGUGACCCAAUUCAACACAAACCAGAGGACAACUGCUAUGUGUACAACAAUUUACUCACUCUGACUCCUCUCACACAAUAUUUUCUCUUUCUGUGAUUCCAAAGCAUAUGCUGUCACAUUAGUCUAGUACCUAAUUUGCCACCAUCAUCUGAUUCAUGGUUAGGAGUCAUGACUUCUGAACAUGUGCCCCAAAUUGUCCAACUGGUCUGCAAAUUCCUUGCUGAAAACAGGCCAGUGGUGAUGCAGGUCAUGGUGAAAGCACCUGAACUCUCUGCUGAAAUUGAAAAGAACAUGACUGAGAUUAUGACAAUGUGGCUGGAUGAAGAGUUAAUGAAGCACAAGAGUGAGGCAUCAGACCCAUUUAACCCUACUGAAGUGGUGGCAGAGUAUGAGAAAUGAGAUGAUUCUUUCCAAUGAGCAAGAGUUUGACCCCCUUUGGAAAAGGCAGGAUGUCCAGUGACCCAUCUGAAAAGGUGAUUCAGCUACAGUGACUCAGAUUUAAAGAGGACCAAAACUCUCCUGGAGCAAGAGGGGACACCAUUCCUGCCCAGGACGUGCUGGGAUACAAUCUCCAGCAGCAGAAGCCCAUCAGACAUUGUGGAGACUCAACAUCUCCAGAACUAGAGUUCCAGAGGAGGCAUUGGUUGGCAACACAUUUUCUUUCUGGAGUCACUCUAAGUGUGGAGGUUUGGAAAGAUCCAAGGAUGUUGAAACACCACUUUUUUGUAGGAGAGAUAUUCCAAAGUACAAUGAAGUAGAACCUUCUCUGUGGGUAUUUCACAUUCAUGCAAUCCUGGGAAAUCAAUUACACCAACUUUGCAAAUCUCCAUAAGGAUCUAAACCCUUCUCAUCAGCAAGUGGCCCUCUGUUGUUGUGAACCACACAGUGGUUGGGGCCCAGGCUCUGUGGAAGAGGAAGGCAGGACCUGCUGCAGCCUUCCAGGCUGAAGCUUCAUCUGGUGUCUUCAUUCUUCAUUCAAGACACAGCUCUUGAUUGGAGAUCCCCAGAAGAGCAAAGGUCUGUCUGAAGCAGAGCCACAUGCUGACUUGCCAUCUGAAUUGACUGUUAAAGCAAGGAGGAUACUGGCAGCCAAAGCUCUGACAAAUAUAAAUGAGUUUAUAGAAAAGGAUUAAGUGAAAAGGAAGGUAGAAGUGUGUCAGAAAUAACUAAAUUUCCAAAGUGGAGCAUGGGAAAGAACAUGUGGUGAGAGAGAUCCUUUCAUCCUGGGUCAUUUGAUAUGGUCUUUGGUGGAACAACUAAAGGAGCCUAUAAUCUCCAAAGAGGAUAUGGACACAUUGGUUGAUAGACACACAGGUGCCACUGAAGCCCUGUUCUUAUUAGAGAAGGGACAGCACCAGACUAUCCUUUGUGUGUUGCAGUGCAUAGUGAACCUGAAGAAAUUCCCAUGGAGGUAGAGGAAGCUUGCCUUAUUCACAUCAUUAAGGUUUUAACUAAGGUUAGUUUUGAUUCAGAGAAUGGACCAAUAGUUUACAAAUUCCUGAAGAAAAUAUUUAAGCACAUUUUGGGUGGGGAAAAAAUGACAAAAGAGCCCCAAGCCAGGCCUCUUGUGAAGGUAAAUUUCUCCUCAUGAUGAAUAUGCCAGGCCUAAAUAUCAAGAUAACAUUUCUGUUCAUCUGUGAAUAAGCUGAAGUUUGUAGAACUACUUUUUCUCAUAGUACUUUAUUUUAAAUGCUGUUGUCUUGUGCUUAGAAUGAUCUUCUUUAGGGAAAUUAUUUUUAAAAAAAUAUCCUUGAGCUUAGGCUGUGUUGUGGCUCAGUGGUUGAGCACCUGUCUUGCAUGUGCAAGGCACUGGGUUCAAUCUUCAGCACCACAUAAAAAUAAAUAAAUAAAAUAAUGAUAUUGUAUCCAUCUACAACUAAAACAAACAAAAAUUUUUAAAAAUAUAUUCUUGAGUUACAUCUUAGUCUUGAAAAAUUGC
rnacentral:lncRNA from 1 species